GGGCGCCCGUCACACAGUCGCGACAGCAAAAUAAUUACGCGCGAGCAAUAAGGAUGGGUAGCUUGGGGUCAUUGGACAAAAUUCUACGUGCUCACGGACCAGACUAUAUACAACUUUACAAUGUAGAUGACAUACCUCUCCCUCCGUUAUCAUUCUGGACUCUAUUACAAGGUGAUAAAGACGCGUUUCUUGUACAACGCCUGGGAAACAAGGAUGCAAUUACACUCCACCUACCUUUUCACAAUAUGGACUCUAUUACAAGGUGAUAAAGACGCGUUUCUUGUACAAGGCCACGCCCACC